GAAGAGGUAGUCAUGCGUGAUUCCUUCAUGUGGCGAAGGAGAUGGUUAAAUUAACCCCUCUUCA
rnacentral:tRNA from 1 species